rnacentral:rRNA from 1 species
CCCAGACUCCUACGGGAGGCAGCAGUGGGGAAUAUUGCACAAUGGGGGAAACCCUGAUGCAGCGACGCCGCGUGAGUGAAGAAGUAUUUCGGUAUGUAAAGCUCUAUCAGCAGGGAAGAAAAAAGACGGUACCUGACUAAGAAGCCCCGGCUAACUACGUGCCAGCAGCCGCGGUAAUACGUAGGGGGCAAGCGUUAUCCGGAAUUACUGGGUGUAAAGGGUGCGUAGGUGGCAUGGUAAGUCAGAAGUGAAAGCCCGGGGCUUAACCCCGGGACUGCUUUUGAAACUGUCAUGCUGGAGUGCAGGAGAGGUAAGCGGAAUUCCUAGUGUAGCGGUGAAAUGCGUAGAUAUUAGGAGGAACACCAGUGGCGAAGGCGGCUUACUGGACUGUCACUGACACUGAUGCACGAAAGCGUGGGGAGCAAACAGGAUUAGAUACCCGCGUAAU